CAUGAUGGCGGAGGCGCUGGAGCGGUGGCUCCGGGAGGAGAUGGAGCUGCCGCCCUCCGCCAUCCCCUCCCCGGCCGCGCUCCGCAGGCUCUGCUCCGGCCCCGCAGCCCCCAUUUGGGAUUACGUCAUCCGCCACGUCCGGAACCAGCGGAACGUGAAGAAGAUCCGAGGAAAUCUGCGCUUGUACGGGCACCUGCAGGAGCUGGAGG